CGGAGCAGCCCCAGGAGGUCUGCAUGGUUACAGUAGGUAGCCCAUCUUACAGAUAAGGAAACCAACCAGAAGCAGCACCAUGAACAAACAACUGCAAAGAGCAAGAGGCAAAUCAACUCCUGCUUUAAAAUCGAUUAUAAAGCUUUACCGCCAUCAACGUUUUAUUAUUCGAUAUCACAAAAUCAUUACCUCUACAGCACGGCAUUUCACGAUGACAUAAAAAUGAACUUUGUUCCUUAAGGAAAAUGCUAUAAAUAUGCACAAGGGAAGUUUUUAUUCUUUUAGAAAUAGUAGUCAACCGAUAUAUCAGGACACCACAAGUCAGUCCUAUCUCUUCUAGAAGAUUCCACAAGACUUGUAAUCAAUUCAACAAGAAUUGAGAGACGUCUCAGAAGCCACCAUGAAAUUCUAAACCUUCAUCAAGACAAAAUAAACCACAAAAAGGUUAAAAGUCUGCUGCAAAUGGGGUGGGGGGUAAACAUUUGCCAUAGAGUUGGCGAACAAGAGUGCUGACUGGAUUAUAUUGAACCCCACAAAUCAAUCACACAGACCACUCAGCACACAAAGGAGCAGUGAGGCAUCCAAGAAUUUCACCAAAUCUGAAAGCUCAGGUGUCCUGCUGCUCAAUAAGGAGCAAUGAACCUCACUAGGAACCCUGGCGACACAAACGGAAAUCACAGCCACCUAUCUCAGCUCGGCCACUGUUAGUUGGCCAGUGGGAGCCGAUGUUGAUGGAAGGCAGGAUGAAGGCUGGUACUGGGAGUACCCAGCUUCACAGACGAUGAUCACAUCCUGUACCCUCAAGUUAUCUUUUCUGAGGAGCAUCCAAAUAGAUGCACUGGAGUAUACAGUCCCUCGUCACAAUUAGAAGUAUGAGAAACUGGGCACACCCUAAAAAUAUUCAUCAGCCAAGGAGUGGUUAAUUAAACAUGGUAUAUUAUG
rnacentral:lncRNA from 1 species